AAAUUGAAGAGUUUGAUCAUGGCUCAGAUUGAACGCUGGCGGCAGGCCUAACACAUGCAAGUCGAGCGGUAGCACAGAGAGCUUGCUCUCGGGUGACGAGCGGCGGACGGGUGAGUAAUGUCUGGGAAACUGCCUGAUGGAGGGGGAUAACUACUGGAAACGGUAGCUAAUACCGCAUAAUGUCGCAAGACCAAAGUGGGGGACCUUCGGGCCUCAUGCCAUCAGAUGUGCCCAGAUGGGAUUAGCUAGUAGGUGGGGUAACGGCUCACCUAGGCGACGAUCCCUAGCUGGUCUUAGAGGAUGACCAGCCACACUGGAACUGAGACACGGUCCAGACUCCUACGGGAGGCAGCAGUGGGGAAUAUUGCACAAUGGGCGCAAGCCUGAUGCAGCCAUGCCGCGUGUGUGAAGAAGGCCUUCGGGUUGUAAAGCACUUUCAGCGGGGAGGAAGGCGGUGAGGUUAAUAACCUCA
rnacentral:rRNA from 1 species